rnacentral:rRNA from 1 species
GCGGGAGGAGGCAAGCGUUAUCCGGAAUUAUUGGGCGUACAGGGUACGUAGGCGGCUGGGCAAGUCUGGGGUUAAAGGCCACAGCUCAACUGUGGGAAGGCCCUGGAAACUGACCGGCUAGAGUGACGUAGGGGUUGCGGGAAUUCCCGGUGUAGCGGUGAAAUGCGUAGAGAUCGGGAAGAACACCUGAGGCGGAAGCGCGCAACUGGGCCUCAACUGACGCUGAGGUACGAAAGCUAGGGGAGCGAAUGGG